UCCUCCCUCUUUCUUCGUGCUUAACACAUGCAAGUCGAACGAUGAACCGGUUUCGGCCGGGGAUUAGUGGCGAACGGGUGAGUAACACGUGGGCAAUCUGCCCUGCACUCUGGGAUAAGCCCGGGAAACUGGGUCUAAUACCGGCUACGACACUCCGAGGCAUCUUGGGGUGUGGAAAGUUCCGGCGGUGCAGGAUGAGCCCGCGGCCUAUCAGCUUGUUGGUGGGGUAAUGGCCUACCAAGGCGACGACGGGUAGCCGGCCUGAGAGGGUGACCGGCCACACUGGGACUGAGACACGGCCCAGACUCCUACGGGAGGCAGCAGUGGGGAAUAUUGCACAAUGGGCGAAAGCCUGAUGCAGCGACGCCGCGUGAGGGAUGACGGCCUUCGGGUUGUAAACCUCUUUCAGCAGGGAAGAAGCGAAAGUGACGGUACCUGCAGAAGAAGCACCGGCUAACUACGUG
rnacentral:rRNA from 1 species